ACAGUCUGAGGACCGGAAAAUCUGCUGCCGGCCCGCCCGGUGAAAAGUCAUGGAAAAGGGCGCGAUGUGGGAGUGGCAGUCCCACCGGACUGU
rnacentral:ncRNA from 12 species